UACGGAGGGUGCAAGCGUUAUCCGGAUUCACUGGGUUUAAAGGGUGCGUAGGCGGACAGGUAAGUCAGUGGUGAAAUCUCCGAGCUUAACUCGGAAACUGCCGUUGAUACUAUCUGUCUUGAAUAUCAUGGAGGUAAGCAGAAUAUGUCAUGUAGCGGUGAAAUGCUUAGCUAUGACAUAGAAUACCGAUAGCGAAGGCAGCUUACUACAUGUUAAUUGACGCUGAGGCACGAAAGCGUGGGGAGCAAACAGG
rnacentral:rRNA from 1 species